rnacentral:rRNA from 1 species
CGGGACGGGUGAGUAAUGUCUGGGAAACUGCCUGAUGGAGGGGGGUAACUACUGGAAACGGUAGCUAAUACCGCAUAACGUCGCAAGACCAAAGAGGGGGACCUUCGGGCCUCUUGCCAUCGGAUGUGCCCAGAUGGGAUUAGCUAGUAGGUGGGGUAACGGCUCACCUAGGCGAUGAUCCCUAGCUGGUCUGAGAGGAUGACCAGCCACACUGGAACUGAGACACGGUCCAG